ensembl:lncRNA
UAUUUUAUUUUACUUCUGGUUAUACAUAGAAAUACAGGAUUUGGUUUUAUUUCUGUUCAAAAAGCAAGCCUCUUCUCUGGGGUCUGUGUUUCAGGGAGGGCACCUGAAAGUUAGCAGUCAAAUCAUCACUUAGCAAGUAUUCAUUGACCAUGACCUCUUCUAACUAGGAGGAAUUGAGCCCUUCCAGCUUCAAACCCAAGGGGUCUGCUAAAGACAGCAAGCUGAGGGGAUUUUGAGAAGUGAGACAGGAAAGAAAACUGAGUGGGUUUGAAAAUACUUCAGAUAAAACAUUCGAGAAGAUGAUUUGAGAGCAUACCAUUUAUAUAUUAAAUUAUUAAACAUAGGACCUUUAUCCAUGUAACUAUUUGCAUUUUAUAAAAGCACUCUCCCAUACAUAACCUCAUUUGAUCCCCACAAAAGCCUCUAAGGCAGAAGAAACUGAUGAGAUCACCCCCAUUUACCACUCGGGAAAGUAAAGUGAAAUGGCCAAGCCUCAGUUAUCAAACUUACGAAAAUGGAGACUUACACUUGACUUGGGUCUCUUACUUGAGAACCAGGGCUUUUUCCACUUCACUGGGCAGUUUUGGGGCACAAGAUGUGGCACCAAACCUGUUCUUAAACAUUUACAAAAAAAUGCAUCAACCCCAGUUGCAAGGAAUUCCUUGGUAAGCAGUGUGUUGCAUCACAGCAAAUACAGUUUGGGAGCUGACAGAACAAAAUCAGCAUCUGAGGGAACUAGUUAGAAGAUACACGAGGUAGCCCCCCAAGGUUAAAACUACAGGAAACCUAAUAUAACUCCCUCAUGUUUAUGAGACAAGCAAGUGCCAAAGAAGUUAAGUUCCUGGUCCAAAGCCACAGAAAACCCCAAAACUCAGCCUGGGACAUGUCUCCUGACUCAGACCAGAGCUCCACCUCACAUAACCCACUGCCCCUUGCUCCAAAUUGUGCUAACUAUAUGCCACUUUCCCCAAGGACUGUGUCCCUGAAAUGUUUCCUUGUAAAUUUCUAUAAUUCAAAUACGACCUUUUCAUUGACUUCUUUGAUGAAAUGGCAAAUCAAUCCUGUUAGCAGAUAACUUGCUGAAUUCAAUAUGGUAGAAAUCAGCAGAUAAAUUAUGGCUAACAUCCAAAUAACGCAAAACUACUCACUAGGACAAGUCAGGAGCAUUACUUCCAUGUUGAUUUUUUUAUUAUUAGAAAAUAUGAAAGCUUCAUGGAAUAAGGAUAUUUUCCCCAUCAUAUUUUAAAAGAUUAACUCAUUAAACUAAUAUUUAUUAACAUGCCAGGCACUACUCAAGGCUCCAGAAACAUAAGAGUGAUCAAAGCAGUUUAAAAAAAAUCACUGCCCUCAUGCAAUCACUUGUGCUUACAUUCUAGCAGGAAUCACAUAUUUUAUUAUUUUUUUGUUUUCCUAAAUUAAUUCAAGUUAAGAAAUGCCUGCAAGGCACUGUGAAAAGUACAAAAUCCAUAGUCUCUGCCCUUUAAGAACAUAAAGUAUUUGCAGGAAAACAGACGUACAGACACUCAUAAAAAUAAUUAUGAAUAAAAGGUAUAUGAUCGAGUCACAAAAGUUAAGUCUCAAAAUAAAUCCUGAAAAUAAUUCAGAGGAAGAGAAAUCAGAGGGCAAGGUUUGGAAGCAAAAGGCUUGUCGAGGGAAGAGAGGGGAGUCCAGUGUGGAAAAGGCAUGGCCAGAGAACAUGAUCCAGAAAAAGUUGGCUUGUUUGGGGGACAGUGCAGAUGCUACCCACCUGGGCCACAGUGGUAAGAAUUGCCUGCAUUCCUCGAAAGCCUGACUGAGACGCUGUAGAUUCAAGCCUAUAAAAAUCAAAGCUACCAAGACUUUUAAGCAAGAGACUAACACACAAGUGGAGUCUUCUGGCAGAACACAGGGUAGGUUGUAGAAAACAAACUAGAGUCCACGUGUUCACUCAUCGACAGGUGCUGCACACACUGUGUGCUAAGUGCUUGUGAGGAACCAAUGUGAUGGCCACCUCCGCUAUGGAAACAGACUUGGGGCAAACAAACAUCACGCUUGGUGAUGAGAACCAUGAGUGAAUUAACAGGACGCACAGACAGAGCUUCACAGGGAGGCCCUGUCAGACAAGAAAACCUCUAAGGAGGCGGUGGUCUUGCUGGACCCAGAGGAAGGGCGAGACGGCCCAAGUCUCAGGGAGAGGAAGGAAAAGCGUCCAGAAUGAGAAAGCAGACUGUGAGGUCUGAGGCAGGGACAAGAGGUGAUCCCAGGCCCCAGGGCAGCACACCAUGCUGGAGACAAGGGUUGUGGAGAGGCGGAUCAGGGCAGAACUAAGAGGACAUUACAGAGCUUUAAUAAGGAAUGCCAGGACAGACUGCUUUUUGUUGUUUUAAUUCUAGCUGCUUUGUGGAGAGCAGAUUGGAGUCAGAAAAACCACCAAGAAAGGCAGUAGCUACACCCCAACUGAGAAAUGCUGAGAGCCCAGUAAUGGCUGUGAGAAUUGGGAAACAGCGGUUGAACUCCCCCCCCCUGCUCUUUCCUCGUUUCAGCCAGGCUCAGAGGGAAUAGGGGCCAGCGUUAUUGUCAAGUCAAACACACCUGACAGAUGCUGCUGCCUAGGCCAAGCCUCCCUAGAAAUGACUUAUCUGCGCCUCUGCUCUAUCGGCUCAGUGGUGUUGUAAUCGCAGAUGGCCAGCCUGACCAUGGAAGAAGAGAGAAGAGAGAAGAGAGCAAACUUGUCCUCCCCACAUCACCCCAUCCCUGUCCUGCUUGCUGCCCCUCCAGAGCAAACUUCCUCCCACACCUGCCACCAAGGCAGGAGUGCUCUGGCCCCUCCAGCCCUCCACAUUCUCAGGACUUUGCAACACCAAAGUUGUGGAUGGGAAAUUUUAAAGCACAAAGCGUCUGGAAGAGUCAACAGUCCAAUAUUUGUAUGACCUUCCCUCCACAUAAGCCUUGGCUGUGGCCUGCUGCACUUUCCAGCUAAUAAAGAGCCAGCUGCUGUGGAAAUGGCUUGUUCUAACUGUCUUGGGUUCUACCUGCCGCCCUGCCCAUCAACUGCUUCCAGUCAACUGCCACUAACUCAGAACUACCUCUGGGUCCCUGCCCUCCACACUGGAUCAGCCCUCAGCUCCACCAUUGUCUGUGCUUUGCUUCUCAGCCUCCUCUCUGCUCCACUCCAGAACCAGCCUGCUUUCUGAGAGUUUCUCAAUGAUGCCAAACGCUGAUGCUUGUGGCAGUCACAGAUUCUCAAGACUUUGGAUGACACACUUAAACACUGUGUCAAAAGCUCAGCAUCACACAAAACCUGCUUCUUAAAAAGAAUAUAGUGCUAUGGAGCAUUGUUCCAGCUAGGGUGACCAUCCAUAAGAUUUCUCUGAAGUCUAGUCCUGGGUCUGCUAUCCCCUUCUGCUUCAACACCAAGGCUGUGACAUCUGGACUCAAUGUCCAGCAAUCUGUCAUUUCAAAUUUUGCACAGUCAGAACUGGGGGCUGCUAUGUAGCCAAGCUCUGUCCUGGAUGUCCACACUUUCCCCUGCCAG